GCGCUCGUAGCUCAAUUGGAAAGAGUGUCACACUGCGGAUGUGGAGGUUGGGAGUUCGAAUCUCCCCGAGCGCACCA
rnacentral:tRNA from 3 species